rnacentral:rRNA from 1 species
AGCGGCGAACGGGUGAGUAAUACCUAGGAAUCUGCCUAUUAGUGGGGGAUAACGUUUCGAAAGGGACGCUAAUACCGCGUACGCCCUACGGGGGAAAGCAGGGGAUCUUCGGACCUUGCGCUAAUAGAUGAGCCUAGGCCGGAUUAGCUAGUUGGUAGGGUAAAGGCCUACCAAGGCUACGAUCUGUAGCUGGUCUGAGAGGAUGACCAGCCACACUGGAACUGAGACACGGUCCAGACUCCUACGGGAGGCAGCAGUGGGGAAUAUUGGACAAUGGGGGAAACCCUGAUCCAGCCAUGCCGCGUGUGUGAAGAAGGCCUUCGGGUUGUAAAGCACUUUAAGCGAGGAGGAAGGUUUACUAGAUAAUACCUAGUAGAAUUGACGUUACUCGCAGAAUAAGCACCGGCUAACUCUGUGCCAGCAGCCGCGGUAAUACAGAGGGUGCAAGCGUUAAUCGGAAUUACUGGGCGUAAAGCGCGCGUAGGCGGUUUGUUAAGUCGGAUGUGAAAUCCCUGGGCUCAACCUAGGCACUGCAUCCGAUACUGGCUAACUAGAGUGUGGGAGAGGAAGGUAGAAUUCCAGGUGUAGCGGUGAGAUGCGUAGAGAUCUGGAGGAAUACCGAUGGCGAAGGCAGCCUUCUGGCCUAACACUGACGCUGAGGUGCGAAAGCAUGGGGAGCAAACAGGAUUAGAUACCCUGGUAGUCCAUGCUGUAAACGAUGUCAACUAGC